AGUUGUGGAGGGCGGCGGGUUGACGGGCGCGCGCCGCGCAGAGGGUACCGCCUGGAUCGCGGGGCGGCGGGGUCGCCUCGGAUGAUGGAGCGGGUGGCUGGGAAGGCGACUCGCAGUCGCUCAAGCCCAGCUUGGUCCCGAGAGUUGGUACCGGAGCUUUUCGUGGCCGUACUUAGCCUGGUGGACUCUAAGCGGUCUGGCGGGAGGGCUUGGGGUACCCCGGAGCCUGUGGCAGAGCGUCGAGUUUGAAUCACCAUAGUGAUACCCGUUCACACACGUGAACGUACCAAACUGUGGGCCUGUCCUUCAAUCCCAAAGUGUCUGGAAACCCAGCAGGUUCAAAGUUCAAGGCACCGGAAGACCAGCGCCUGCUCUCGGGGAAACUUGCCUUCUAAUUGAGUAGAUGUACGUGAGCAGAUAAACAAGGCCAGAAGAGGACACCAGAUCCCCUUACAGAUGGUUGUGAGCCACCAUGUGGUUGCUGGGAAUUGAACUCAGGACCUUUGGAAGAGCAGGCAAUGCUCUUAACCUCUGAGCCUUCUCUCCAGCCCCCUCAUUGCUGUGUUUUCUUGCCUGAAUCAGGCUGUUAAUGCGCUGUCACUGCAGUGUGUCACCAGAGAACUAAACACUGAGGCCUGACUGUAGAACUUAACCAUCUGGACCGUUUGCAGGAAAGUAUUCAUUUGCUUUUCUUCAGUGCCCUGGGGACAGGGUGGCUGCUGGCUUAGAGGCCUGGGAAACAACCACACAAGACAGUGAAUCAGCGAGGACGUUACCUGGUAGAUAGAAUCUUGAGACUGCAUCUACAGAGAUGUUCCUUCCCAGCUUUACUACAUCCCCUUUAUACUAGAAGCUAUUUCCUCCAUGUGGAAUGGCAGGAUAUAUGUUUGGAUGUACAAAGCUGUUUACUGAGCAGUGUAUUCUACAUAAUUCAAGACACUUGGAUAUCAACCUUAAUAAAUGAAAUUUCUGGGGAUUGAGCCAUCAGCAGUUGGUUAGGAGCUUAGACUACUUUUGUAGAGAACUCCAGUUUGGCUUCUAAUAGCUGUGUGGGGCUCAAAACUAUCUUCAGGGUCUCCAACACCAUCUUUGGUCCCCAGUGAUGCUGUGCUCAUGUGCACUAAGACUUUCACACACUCAUAUGCAUAAUUAAAAAUAAAAUAUUUAAGGAGUGAA